GAUUGUUAGGCCCAUUUCGAUCGGUACUGUACAGUCAAUGGCGGAAUGGCGGCGACGCGCAUUGGAACUUGUAAGUGGAUGCAUGUGCGACUUGAUGUGGCGUUGCAUGUGGGAUGCCCCGUCUGUAAUGUUCGCAGACUGGUCAUUUGAUGAUACGUGUGCACAGUGGUAGUGCUUGGGUGCCUCAAGAGGGAAUCGCAGAGCAUAGCCACCCAUAGAGCUAAAAGUCAUAGAAAAUUUUUAAAAUUGUUAUUUGAUUUUGUGUUGUUUCAGCAGUAGUAUGUCCUUCAACAAUCUGUUAUGUCCAUCCAUGGAAUGAGUGGUAUGUGACUAAGUCAACCAAACGGGGCAACAACAAUCAGUCAGCAAUAGAAUUAGUCUGUGGAAAACAACACAUUCAUUCCUGAGGAUGGUUUUGAGUUUAUCUAUGCUUAUUGUAUGUUUAAUUUUUAUUGGGCGAAACCCAACAGGGGUUUGCUGUUUUCAAUUCACAAUCGUAAUGGAUUUGAAGAGGAUAUUGAUGGAGUUCUGGUAUAAAAAAGCAAAAGUACAUGUUUGAUGGAAGGGCAACCGAAGAGUUCCGGAUCCUUUUACUAUCGCACAUGUUAUGGUAUUUUUACAAAGUCAUGAAGUGCUUAUCUGGACCCCCUUGUUUUCUGUGGUCCUGUUUCCCCUUGACUUAUAUUAUUUUCUUUAACCCUAUAGUAAGUGUAAAACUAAAGGCUAAAAGAAAAGGAAUGAUUCAAAAAUUGUGGGAGAGAAUCAUCAAAGAAUUAUACUCGUUUAGGUAAUCCAAGGAAAUAAGAAACAGUAUUAACUCGGCGCAGUCUUCGAUUCCAUCUUUUUAAAAGCGGUUUUUUCUGGGCGUGGAACUUUUUUGGUCGAGACGUAAUGGGUGUCUUAAAGGCACUGAAGGUUGCAUUAGAUCCCCAACAAAAAGGGAACGCUGAAAAUCCGAGGGGGCGAUGGGAAUUAGUGGUAAUGUUGUGUAGUUAACCUCAGAAAAUGUGACGCUAGCUGAUGUAAACCGCACCAGCUGUGCUAUUACCAAGUCUGUCUCACGUUUGCCGCAUAGCAGGAAAAGGUUGUGAGAGUAGCAGAAGAAGAGGAAAUUGCAGUAAAUCCGGUUUUGAAAGAAGCCAAACAUUCCGAUGAUAUGGGAGCUCAGCCUGUGGAAACAAAAACCCUAUGUUUAAGAUAG